UUAAAUGCAAUUCUUGUUUUUAUUAUAGUGUCUUUGCUUUCUGAUGAAGCCGAUUGAAUUAUUUUACACUUGAACGCCUCGCUUCGCCCAGCUGUGGAUCUCAAAAAUGUUCACAUGUUCCUUUGCAUCCUCGUCUUUCUCCUGCCACCUGAGCAUCCUCUUGCUUUUCCCUUCCUUUGCUCUCCCCCCCCCCGGCCGCCCUCCCGUUGAAUAAAUUAACUCGGGGUUUUAAUCGAUGAAAGCGUGCUUCUCCAGGCCCCGGCGGUCCGUCAUCCUGCCCCUCCGUUUUAUUUUGAGCCACAGACUUCAACUUCAGCUCAUCAAAGCCAUUCCCCCCCUCUCCUACCCUCCUCUCUCACCUGAGCUAAAAUUAGCCGCCUCUCUUCUCCUCCGUCAGCAGCCAUAGCUACACACACACACACACACGCACAGGUGCGUCCUCGCAGGUGACACACAUACUGUACUUCCACUCGUUCACCGUUUGUCCUUGACAUGGAGCCGCCGAGAUUGAUGGCGCUCCUCCCCGACUCGAGCCGUCUCGCCGCAUUUCGCCUCCUCUCCUCUUGUUUUAUUUGAAACGAGAGGACUGCAGUUCCCUAAUGAAUUAAUGGUACGCUUUAAAAUGCAUCUGUGGCAGCGCAGCCAGACUCCAUUAGUGGAUAACAUUGGCACAGAGCGAGCGGGUCCCUCUUCACUGCAGAUGCAGUGCAGGCUUCUCUGAUUUACUUCACAGAGAGCGCAAAGAAAUGUCACCUUUGGCAAAAAAAAUAAAAAAUAAAAUAUGCACAUAAUUUGCCUCAGAAGAGACAGUUCCACCGCAGCAUGAAAGAGGCGCAUUAACCAACAUCAAACACAAUGCCAUUCAACAGAUCAAGAGCGCGAUUAAAUAGACACCCACAAAGCGGUCCCACGGUUUCUGUCAGUGAAAGGGUUUUAAUCAGGGCGCUCAUACUGGAAUGCUGUGGAUACAUGGCUAUUUGGUGAUGAGUGUUUUACAGGAUCAACAGAUUAUCAGCUGAAACGUUAGGCCCUCUUCUGGUGUGUGCGCGUGUGUGUGUGUUUGUGUGUGUGUCCAGAGAAGAAAUUGUUCGGCACAAUGUCCAAAAGCUGCAAAAAGUUUUGAUCUGUGUGCAUCUGUGCAGUGAAGCAGCGAACUCCCUGUUCCCUGUUCAGACUUUUUAGCUUGGUAAUUUUAAGACUCAGGGCUAUUUUUUGAUUUAGUUUGAACGGUCUGUGGAGAUUCAAUUCAUAAAAUACAUUUAGAUUUUAGACGCAGUCACGCCUCACUGCUCUCACUCGCUUAUCAUUGUAUUGACUUUAAAAUAAGGUUUAUACGUGUGAAAAUAUGUAUUUUUUUAUGCUUCCUGCAACAACAAUAGACCCGUUUCUCUCCAUUUUCAGUUUGUCUGCAGAUGUAAAAAGGAGAUUUAUUUAUUUUUUGUUUUAGAUGUGGAGCUAUGUUGGACAGCCGUGACUGUCGUCUUUCUUUCUUUUUGAGGAAAAUAUAGAAGGUUUCUCAAAACUGAAAGAGCUUCAGGCCAUUUAAAUACAUGCAAACUGAGCCGUAAUACAAGCAGAAAGGUUUCAGACAGUGAAUCGUGCCUCGGGGGAGACACUACUUUGGCCCUCUACCAAAAAACACUAUAUUUGAGUAGAUAAUCUACAUGCCCUUUAUUAUUUCUGCCAUAUUUUACUGACUCUGUAACAUGGUCACAUAGAGGCCUGGUAUAGCUGUAAUGACAAUUUGCUUUUUCAUGUUUUUUUUUAUAGCCAUUAAUUCUAAUAGUUGUUGUUUUAAACCAAAACCUUACUGAAAAUAUUUACAAUAAACCUUCUAGAAAGGACAAAUACAAGCACAGUUUCUUAAAAACCUCCAUUUUUAAAUGGACAAGAAUGAAAAACAUCGAAGGUGUUGUGUACUGAACACUCAGUCUACUCCACCUUAGGAAAUGUUUUCUUAAUGUUUUUCGCUGUGUAAUGGAAACAAGACACGUUCUCGAAUAACUCGGCGCAUUUAUUUAACGUAAAUAAAUAAUGUACAAAUAAAUAAGUUGUACAUCAAGUACAACUAUCCGGACGAGCACCAGGCCGUUAUACUUUAAUAUCAUCCUUUCUUACUCUUCCUACCGUUUCUCACUCAUUCUUGUCAGCGGAACCACCUAAUGGCGUGGAGUAGUAUUACACAACACAACAGGCUGCAAACAGGAAGCUCUGAUCAGACACCAACCUCGGCAUCGUCAACCAUAUUUUCUUACAGCGCUUAUACACUUUGCCCACCACCAGGGGGCAGCCAUUCCCUCUCAAAACUCAUUCAAGGGUGCAGAUUUAUGUGGCACCCCUACCAUCCCCCGUUAAAAUGGCACCUGUGCCAUCUGGCUUCCGCACCAGUCUUACCGUUUUCAGCCACCAACACGCCGUCGAGACGAGCAAAGCACAGAAAACAAGUUCUUCCGCAUAUAAACCUUGUCAAAGCGCAUUCAGCACGGUUAUAAAUACACUUGUGUUAAAUGCCAGCUAGCUUUUAAACCGCUGCAUGCGUUGAACGGCCCUUUCCACAACACUCUAUAAUCAUCACUGCUCCCAAAAAACGUAAUAAGUGUUUACAGGAACGCUGAUUUCUGCUGGCAUCUGCACAUCUCUGCUGUUCUGCUGUUUAUUGAAAAUAGUCUGUCUUUGUACGUUUUUAAAUAAACUCAAAUGCACCUUCCUUUUCACUGGAGUGCAUUAUUUUUUCCACAACAGUACUUACGUUGACAUGCGUUGAAAAGCAUGCAAUACGUUCCUGUGUACUCUCGUGUGAGCCUACUUUCUUCGCUGCCGUUGCAGAGAAAGUUUCCGAAUGUGGGACAGUGAAACGAUAUUUCUGUUCCGUUCUACACUAAACACAGAGUUACUCACCGCAUUACAUAACAAGCACCGCAUUGCAUUACCGAAAUGACUCAACUGAUGUGAAGCCAGAUGAAAAUUAUGAGCAAGACCCUGGCUUUGGUCUGCGUCAAUCCACUGUAAAGUCUGACAUAUCCACCUCACGAUAUAAGACACUGAGGCGCUGUUGGCUUAGGAGCUAAUUACUGAGCUUAACCUACGCUGCACUGCUUGGAGUUGACCCAAUUCCCAGGAAUUAAGUUACCAACAGUCUUUGGGUUAUGGGCCGUCUGGAUCCAAAACUUUCUGACACGGAAACAGUCAGUAAAAUGACUGAUUACCAAAGAUCUGACCGGUAAUUUGCUACAGCAUCACAUAAGAUGUCAGGUUUCCCUUUCUUAAAUGUGUGCUGGAUGGCUGUUUAUGUCAACUUUUAGCUGAAAACUGCAAUUUUCACCUUAUCUGUCAGAUUUCCGCUCUGACUUGCUUUGCUCUAAAUAAAACUGGAGGCAUACGGCUCCUGUGGGCCUUCUGUAUUAAACUUUACUAGGAAACGUUUGACGGAUUGAUACCUGGAAUGCUGUAACCUCAGUCAUGCUGGUUCUGUGCGGCAGUAGUUGGUGUCAGAGUGUGUAUUAGUUUGGAGUAUUAGUGGUACCUCAGGAUCCCCAGGCUGCUCCUUCUGCUCUCUCCAUAUGAUCCUGCUAAUCCCUCAGCCCGUUGUCUGGGACGCACACAGACAGAGGUCUGGCUAAUAGCAAGGGCAAAAUGUGCUUGAUUUAUUCACUUGGGCUUUUUAAAACUAGUUGUUUUGCAUCAUUUUCCUAUGCAAGUCCAAGACUGCGUACUCUUGAGGCUCUGGCACAAGCAAUGCUGCUGGUGGGUGCUUGGGAAACACCCCUGGAGUGCCGGAUGAAGAGCAGGUUUGAAGGUCUGGAUUGAUCUUAUUGACCUGCUAAACAAAGAUCAGUGGAUAACAGAAAGCCAGUUGAUCUCUGUAAGGUUGAAUAAGGUCAGGAAAAGGUAAUCCCACAGCUCCCAGUCCAAAUACAAACUACCUGCUACAGCUAUUUUUUUUUUAUUAAGAUGUUUAAAAUACUUAUAUUUCACAAGUGGAAAGUGCUGGAUCAGACAAUUAGACAAUGGUGUGGAUGGGAGUCAAAUUACAAACUUGAGGGUUUGUAAUUUUUCAUGCAAGAAAAUCCCCCACAAAAUCAUGUGGAAGGAAAACCUAUUGAUAUUUCCUACAGUAUUUUUUUGCAGGAUACAUGGAUGGUCAUGAUCGAACUUCACUUCAUCUGGUCCCUCUGGACCACUAAAAACAUGGACAUAUGUUUUAAAUUAUUAUUAUUCAUAGUAUUAUCAUAAACAAUUUGAAGUUUAAAGUAUAAAGCAACGAUGGCCGUAGCAUUUUAAAUAGUCAGAUUUACAGUUUGAGACAGUUUGAACAGCGGUUCGUGUCAGUCCGCUGAUAAAACACGACAUGCGAGAGACCAGUUCCUGGAUUUUGGAUGAACAUAAACGUACUUCUAAGGCAAGUUGUGGAUAUUUUCCUUUUACCUUAGAAAGGAAAGGAUUUUUUUGCAUCAGAAACCCAGGAACUGGACUCUCAUGUGUCAUGUUUCAGCUUUUAUCUGGCAGAAUCACAGUACACAAACUUUAAUAUAUUUAAUUUAGCUCGCAGGAGACAAGUAAACACAAACAGUUCAUUCUAGCUGUCAAAUGAAGGGAAAUGAUGCGUAGUUUUUAAAUUUUUUGCACUUCACAAAAAGUUUAACGCUCCCCUUAGUAAGUGCCUUUGUAGUGCCGUCUUGUACUACAUUUUAUUAUUUUGUUAUAUAUCUUUCGCAUCCACCAGAUUUGUGCAUCUAAACCCUCAAAUAUUUUCAGGUUAUUUUCACCUUCUAACAGGUUUUCUUCCAGGAUUGUCCUGUGUUCACCUCCAUCCCACUUCACAUCGACUCUGACCAAAAAGAUGCAUCCCCACAGCAUGAUGCUGCCACCACCGCCUCCACAUAGCAACUAGGCUAAAAACUAUAACCUUUGGUCCCAUUACCAGAGCUCCUUCUCCUCCUACACACAGAUUUCUUAUUUGCAGAUUUGGAGGGUCCUCAACUAAUGGUCGACUCGAUGACGUUCCACCAUCUCAUCCCUGUCCUGUCUGCUGCAUUCUUUGAAGCAGUUCGUUCUCAAAUAAUCUCUCAGCAGACCAGAGAGUACGUUACAAAACAGCUGAUGUCACAUUGAACACACUGGGUGACUUCUGUUAGAUUUAAUUUUGGGUAUCAGAUUCAAGGGGUGCGGAUGCAGAUUUUCAUUUGUACAGUCGUUUUAAAAGACGUGCAUCAUUUUCCUACCGUUUUAUAAUUUUGCACUGCUUUGAGCUGGUUUGUCACAUUGAAUCCAAAUAAAACCGUCAUGUCCAAAUGUUUUUGCAUCCUGGCCCAGAAUCCUGAAGUUGAAAGUACUGAAAGAGUUACAUUGUUUUUACAACUUCAAAAACUAAAUAGUAUUGUUAAUUUUCUUCUUCUCUGCGCAGCAAUAAAUUAAACUACGGUACAAUAUUUUUUUAAUGAAACAAAGAGGCAUUUCUCAACAAAAGGUGGUCAUUUUCCUAAUUUGGAUGUAAUUUGUUUCGGCUUAUUUGGUCUAGAAAAUUUUGAAUCUAUUCCCAGCAAAAAAAGGAGAAAAACUUUAAUAGAAGAAUUAAUGUACUCUAUUUUUUAUUUUUUAGUAAGACAUCGCUGGAUGUUUAUUGCCCUACUUACGAUGAAAUUACAGUAAAAAUAAAAAUAUAUUGUGCUUCUCUGGGAAGCACGAUCUAUAGUAUAUAUAUAGGAUUACAUUUCUCAUUGUAAUUCUCAUGUUAAAAAAUUACAAGCCUGUCCACUGGAGGGCCAAAUUUGCACCAACUCCCAGUCGGAGGCCACACAACAUUGUUUAACGGGCCACACUUUGGACGUCCCUGAAGUAAAAUGUAUAAAAAAACAAGUUCUUGAUUAUGACCUAUCCUAGCAAAAAAAAAAAAUGUUCAAAGGAUAAAGCACUGAUGUGACAGUAUGUACCACCUUAUAUCAGCGUCAUAUAACUGUAGAAAAGAUCCAAAUAACAUCAUCUAAAAUCAGCCCACAACCAAUCCCAUCUUCAGCAGCAUCGUCUUGCCUGUUACCAUGUAUUGAGUCAUUUCUUCAUCCAGCCUUAGCAGUAGAGGUGUAUGUUGUUAUGCAACGGUGCCGUGACUAUUCCACACACACACACACACACACACACACACGCAGACCUAAAACACUGUCCCAUCACUUAUCCUCCGACACGUUAAAUAGAGUCUGCAUCUCCACCACUCUCUGCAAAGCUUCACUCCAGGGAUUUACUGCCAUAAGUCUCCUCUUCAUGUAUGGAUUCACACGACUGGCGUCGCUUACAGGAAGUUGAGUCACAUAUAUGCGCACACACACACACAAAGAGAGAGAGAGAGAGAGAGAGAGAGAGAGAGAGAGAGAGAGAGCUAAAUGAUUCAUAAUUUCAUUCUACAUGUCCCGACGGCUCUCCUCUUCAGUCACGGCACCGAAAACAAACAGCGCAUCGACUGUCGGAGGAGGAGGAGGAGACACUUUAAAAAGCCCAGAUCCAGAUGGAGGAUUAACCGUGACAUUUGCCACAAACACUCACACACACACACACGCACAGGCACAAAAAAGGACGACUUUAUGCGUCACGUCAGCGUCAUAUUUAGUGUAUAGUCGUCGUGCAUCUUUCGCCGGGGCUGUAGACAGGAAAGGGUGGCAGAAGAGGGCUUGCCGUCAGUCCGCAGAUUGGUGCGCAACGCCAUUACAGACCACCCUACUCUGCUCGGUUCAUUCAUAAAUACCAGAGGAUCGCCAUCUCGCAGCGGUGCAUCAUUUGGAAGUCGCAGAAGCCCCCCCCCUCCCCUACACCUCCCCCCAUCCCACCCUCCUCUGCCUCACUUUACUUCUCAAAGCCAUGAAAUAAACCUGACCAGUGUGUCGACCCCCCACCAUCCCUCACACUCCUCUCCCCUCCAAUAUGGCUGUGCGGGCAUAUGGGCAGCGGCGGCUAUAGAAUGAACACGAUCGAGAUUUCAGACUCGUGGUAGGACGUCGAUGUGGAGGAGA